AGAGUUUGAUCAUGGCUCAGAACGAACGCUGGCGGCGUGCUUAACACAUGCAAGUCGAGUGCGCGUUUCCGUAGCAAUACGGAGAUGGCGCACGGCGCACGGGUGCGUAACACGUGGGUAAUCUGCCCUCCGAUGGGGAAUAACCCCGCGAAAGCGGGGCUAAUUCCGCAUAACAUUCCGAGAACUCCGGUUUUUGGACUCAAAGGCGUAAGUCGUCGGAGGUGGAGCCCGCGCACGAUUAGCUAGUUGGUAGGGUAAUGGCCUACCAAGGCUUUGAUCGUUAGCUGGUCUGAGAGGAUGGCCAGCCACACUGGAACUGAGACACGGUCCAGACUCCUACGGGAGGCAGCAGUGGGGAAUCUUGCACAAUGGGCGAAAGCCUGAUGCAGCGACGCCGCGUGGGGGAUGAAGCUUCUCGGAGUGUAAACCCCUUUCGACCCGGACGAAUGCCCCGCAAGGGGAGUGACGGUACGGGUAUAAGAAGCCCCGGCUAACUACGUGCCAGCAGCCGCGGUAAGACGUGGGGGGCCAGCGUUGUUCGGAAUUACUGGGUGUAAAGGGUUCGUAGGCGGUGUGGCAAGUCGGGAGUGAAAUCUCUGGGCUCAACUCAGAGGCUGCUUCCGAAACUGCUGUGCUGGAGUGUGGGAGAGGCGCGUGGAAUUGCAGGUGUAGCGGUGAAAUGCGUAGAUAUCUGCAGGAACACCCGUGGCGAAAGCGGCGCGCUGGACCACUACUGACGCUGAGGAACGAAAGCUAGGGGAGCAAACAGGAUUAGAUACCCUGGUAGUCCUAGCCCUAAACGAUCAGGACUUGGGGUGCCACCCGUUCGGGUGUCGUCCCGGAGCUAACGCGUUAAGUCCUGCACCUGGGGAGUACGGUCGCAAGACUGAAACUCAAAGGAAUUGACGG
rnacentral:rRNA from 1 species